UGCCCGCUCUGUGGGAAGACCUUCUCGUGC
rnacentral:piRNA from 1 species